rnacentral:rRNA from 1 species
GUGGGGAAUAUUGCACAAUGGGGGAAACCCUGAUGCAGCGACGCCGCGUGGAGGAAGAAGGUCUUCGGAUUGUAAACUCCUGUUGUUGAGGAAGAUAAUGACGGUACUCAACAAGGAAGUGACGGCUAACUACGUGCCAGCAGCCGCGGUAAAACGUAGGUCACAAGCGUUGUCCGGAAUUACUGGGUGUAAAGGGAGCGCAGGCGGGAGAACAAGUUGGAAGUGAAAUCCAUGGGCUCAACCCAUGAACUGCUUUCAAAACUGUUUUUCUUGAGUAGUGCAGAGGUGGGCGGAAUUCCCGGUGUAGCGGUGGAAUGCGUAGAUAUCGGGAGGAACACCAGUGGCGAAGGCGGCCUACUGGGCACCAACUGACGCUGAGGCUCGAAAGUGUGGGUAGCAAACAGGAUUAGAUACCCGAGUAGUCC